UGAAAUGCGUAGAUAUCUAACGGAACGCCUGUGGCGAAAGCGGGUCGCUGGGCCUGUCCUGACGCUGAGACGCGAAAGCGUAGGGAGCAAACGGGAUUAGAUACCCCGGUAGUCUACGCCGUAAACGAUGCGCACUAGGUACAGGAGUCUCUGACGGCGACUGUGCCGAAGCAAAAGUGUUAAGUGCGCCGCCUGGGGAGUACGGCCGCAAGGCUAAAACUCAAAGGAAUUGACGGGGGCUCACACAAGCGGUGGAGCAUGUGGCUCAAUUCGAAGCAACGCGAAGAACCUUACCCGGGUUCAAGCAUUGGGAUGCCUACCUGGAAACAGGUUUUGGUUGCCCUUCGGGGUGAAACAUUGGCCGGUGCUGCAUGGCUGUCGUCAGCUCGUGCUGUGAAGUGUUGGGUUAAGUCCCGUAACGAGCGACACCCUUGUCGUUAGUUGCCAGCGGGUUAUGCCGGGGACUCUAACGAGACUGCCGGUGUCAAACCGGAGGAAGGUGGGGAUGACGUCAAGUCAUCAUGGCCAUUAAGCCAGGGCGGGCACACGUGUACAAUGGGGGCGCACAAAGCGACGCAAGACCGUGAGUGGAGCANAUCGCAAAAGCGUCUCCAGUUCGGAUGGAGUCUGAAUUCGACUCCAUGAGUCGGAUCGCUAGUAUCGCGUAUCAGCAUG
rnacentral:rRNA from 1 species